rnacentral:rRNA from 1 species
ACUCAAAUGAAUAGACGGGAAUUCGCACAAGCGGUGGAUCAUGUGGCUUAAUUCGUCGGUAAGCGAAGAACCUUACCAGGGCUAGAAAUCUAUCUGCACGCUCCGGGAAACCGGAGAAGCCUUCGAGGGUGAUAGACAGGUGAUGCAUGGUCGUCGUCAGUUCGUGGCUUGAGCUGUUCCCUUAAGUGGGGAAACGAACGCAACCCCCGUUGUCUGUUUUACAUGUCAGGCAAGACAGCUCCCUCACGGGAGAGGAAGGAGGGGAUGACGCCAGAUCAGCAUGUCCCUCUGAUGCCCUGGGCUGCACACGUGAUACAAUGGGCGCGACAAAAGGAUGCAAUACGGUAACGUGGAGCAAAUCCCAAAACGCGUCCUCAGUACGGAUUGAGGUCUGCAACUCGACCUCAUGAAGCUGGAAUCGCUAGUAAUCGUAGGUCAGCCAUACUACGGUGAAUACGUUCUCGAAUUUUGUACACACCGCCCGU